UUGCUCAAUGAAAUUGAGUACUACAUAGCGAAGAUAAACCUGCAAGUGAAGUUUAGAUAAAUCUGUUUUCAAAAAAGAAUGGCACUGGAGAGCAAAUCACCAGAAGACAGAAGGAAGCUGUAGGAGGCAGAAACUCAUGGGACAAAUCUUCACAAAGCAGAAGCUGUAGAAGGCAGAGACUCAGGGGCAAAGCUUCAGGACCCAGAAUCUCAGGGGUAAAGCCGAAGCAGUUACACUCACAGAGGACAAAGCUUCAGGAGGCGAAGACUCAGGGGUGAAGCUGAAGGAUGUAGAGCCUCAAGGAGCAAAGGGAUACUUCAAAAGGUAUGAAGAAUGGACACCACAAUUUUGAUCCCGUAGUUUUCCUCCACGGUGAAUGCCCUCCUCUGAAGGGACUUUCUUUCUAAGCAAAGCAUUUGAGAAUGCCUGAUGUUAGCCAUGUAUGUUCCAUAGAGGCGUGAAUCACACGGUGUUGUCAGAUAUGGCUGUAGAUUUGUGUACACCCUGCAUAACACUGUGUUGUCCACUUGUUCUGACACCACCUCGCAAAAUUGUUCAGGGCCUAACACAAAGGCAUUGUUUGGGCACUUGAAUGACAUCAAGUUUUCCUUGAUUUCUGUCUUGGACUUAGAUGUUUCCUCAAGACGAUUUGCAACUUGUGCCAAAACAUUUUUUCCAGAUCGGACCAUUUUUUUCAUUUGAUGAAGAUAGCUCUCAAACUUGAAAGCACUGCAGCUGUCAAGGCUGCCAAAGUUUUGGGCAUCUUCUGCAAGGUGCAGCAAGGAAUGGACAUUGUAUACCAAAAAUGUCACUCCAUACAGCUCCCGUCCUCUCUCUACAAAAUACUUA
ensembl:lncRNA